rnacentral:lncRNA from 1 species
GCUCAAGAUAGCGCUUUUGAAGACAAGAACUGAACUCAACUGCCUGAAUGGCGCCUGCAUGAUCCGAGCGCUGUGCAUCAUGGUAGAACCGGAGGACAUCCUAUCGAAGUACCUAUCGGAGCAAAAAAUGGUGGAACUAGAUAAAAUCACCGAAAUGUGCAAACCAUGAUGUCUUCAUUACGAAAUAUGCACUCCUGCUUGACUUGAGAAGCGUGCGUCGUGAAUAAAAAGAGAGAAUCAUCCA